rnacentral:rRNA from 1 species
CGUUGAAUCACCGGUUCUCGUCCGAUCACUGAAGUUAAGGAACGUUGGUCCUGGGCAGUACCUAGAUGGGUGACCGCUUGGGAAUAAAAGGUGUUGUAAG